GACGAACGCUGGCGGCGUGCUUAACACAUGCAAGUCGAACGGUAAGGCUCCAGCUUGCUGGGGUACACGAGUGGCGAACGGGUGAGUAACACGUGGGUGACCUGCCCUGCACUUCGGGAUAAGCCUGGGAAACUGGGUCUAAUACCGGAUAGGACCGCACCGUGAGGGUGUGGUGGAAAGUUUUUUCGGUGUGGGAUGGGCCCGCGGCCUAUCAGCUUGUUGGUGGGGUAAUGGCCUACCAAGGCGGCGACGGGUAGCCGGCCUGAGAGGGUGGACGGCCACAUUGGGACUGAGACACGGCCCAGACUCCUACGGGAGGCAGCAGUGGGGAAUAUUGCACAAUGGGCGGAAGCCUGAUGCAGCGACGCCGCGUGGGGGAUGACGGCCUUCGGGUUGUAAACUCCUCUCACCAUCGACGAAGGGUUUCUGACGGUAGAUGGAGAAGAAGCACCGGCUAACUACGUGCCAGCAGCCGCGGUAAUACGUAGGGUGCGAGCGUUGUCCGGAAUUACUGGGCGUAAAGAGCUCGUAGGUGGUUUGUCGCGUCGUCUGUGAAAUUCCGGGGCUUAACUCCGGGCGUGCAGGCGAUACGGGCAUAACUUGAGUACUGUAGGGGAGACUGGAAUUCCUGGUGUAGCGGUGAAAUGCGCAGAUAUCAGGAGGAACACCGGUGGCGAAGGCGGGUCUCUGGGCAGUAACUGACGCUGAGGAGCGAAAGCAUGGGGAGCGAACAGGAUUAGAUACCCUGGUAGUCCAUGCCGUAAACGGUGGGCGCUAGGUGUGGGUUUCCUUCCACGGGAUCCGUGCCGUAGCUAACGCAUUAAGCGCCCCGCCUGGGGAGUACGGCCGCAAGGCUAAAACUCAAAGGAAUUGACGGGGGCCCGCACAAGCGGCGGAGCAUGUGGAUUAAUUCGAUGCAACGCGAAGAACCUUACCUGGGCUUGACAUAUACAGGAUCGCGCCAGAGAUGGUGUUUCCCUUGUGGCUUGUAUACAGGUGGUGCAUGGUUGUCGUCAGCUCGUGUCGUGAGAUGUUGGGUUAAGUCCCGCAACGAGCGCAACCCUUGUCUUAUGUUGCCAGCACGUUGUGGUGGGGACUCGUAAGAAACUGCCGGGGUUAACUCGGAGGAAGGUGGGGAUGACGUCAAAUCAUCAUGCCCCUUAUGUCCAGGGCUUCACACAUGCUACAAUGGUCGGUACAGUGGGUUGCCAGUCCGUGAGGGCGAGCUAAUCCCGCAAAGCCGGUCUCAGUUCGGAUCGGGGUCUGCAACUCGACCCCGUGAAGUCGGAGUCGCUAGUAAUCGCAGAUCAGCAACGCUGCGGUGAAUACGUUCCCGGGCCU
rnacentral:rRNA from 1 species